rnacentral:rRNA from 1 species
GAGUUUGAUCCUGGCUCAGGAUGAACGCUAGCGGCAGGCCUAAUACAUGCAAGUCGAGGGGCAGCGCGGGUAGCAAUACCUGGCGGCGACCGGCGCACGGGUGCGUAACGCGUAUGCAAUCUGCCUUUUACUGGAGGGAUAGCCCAGAGAAAUUUGGAUUAAUACCUCAUAGUAUUAUUGGAAUGGCAUCAUUUGAUAAUUAAAGUUCCAACGGUAAAAGAUGAGCAUGACGUCCCAUUAGCUAGAUGGUAA